ACGCUCGACACCUACGGGAGCAGCAGUGGGGAAUAUUGCACAAUGGGGGAAACCCUGAUGCAGCGACGCCGCGUGAAGGAAGAAGUAUCUCGGUAUGUAAACUUCUAUCANCAGGGAAGAAAGUGACGGUACCUGACUAAGAAGCCCCGGCUAACUACGUACCAGCAGCCGCGGUAAUCUGAGCGGGCUGGCAAGGC
rnacentral:rRNA from 1 species